rnacentral:rRNA from 1 species
CCUACGGGAGGCAGCAGUGGGGAAUAUUGCGCAAUGGGCGAAAGCCUGACGCAGCGACGCCGCGUGAGGGAUGAAGGUCUUAGGAUCGUAAACCUCUGUCAGCAGGGAAGAACGGUCACUGUGCUAAUCAGCAGUGAAUUGACGGUACCUGCAAAGGAAGCACAGGCUAACUCCGUGCGCGCAGCCGCGGUAAUACGGAGGGUGCGAGCGUUAAUCGGAAUUACUGGGAGUAAAGCGCGCGUAGGCGGUAUGUCAAGUCAGGGGUGAAAUCCCCGAGCUCAACGUGGGAACUGCCUUUGAAACUGGCAAACUGGAGUGUGUGAGAGGAUAGUGGAAUUCCAGGUGUAGGAGUGAAAUCCGUAGAUAUCUGGAGGAACAUCAGUUGCGAAGGCGACUAUCUGGACCGCGACUGACGUUGAGGCUCGAAAGCGUGGGGAGCGAACAGGAUUAGAUACCCGAGUAGUC